UUCGCAAAGUUUUCGUUCAGAGGCCUUUAGGUCUUUAGGAAGGUCUGAGAAUCACAACAGUCGAAAUGACAUAAACGAGAGUUUAGUAACUGGAUUAUCAGAAAUUCACGAUGACAGCUCUGUCAUUGUUUGAAAUAUGCCAGUGUGAUUGUUGUGAUAGUCCGAUACGAAAAGUGACAAUUGGUCUUGUUAUAACUCAAUUCAGACUACUCUUGCGAA
rnacentral:RNase_P_RNA from 1 species